UACGUAGGCAGCGAGCGUUGUUCGGAGUUACUGGGCGUAAAGGGUGUGUAGGCGGUUGUUUAAGUUUGGUGUGAAAUCUCCCGGCUCAACUGGGAGGGUGCGCCGAAUACUGAAUGACUUCGAGUGCGGGAGAGGAAAGUGGAAUUCCUGGUGUAGCGGUGAAAUGCGUAGAGAUCCGGAAGAACACCGGUGGCGAAGGCGGUCUGCUGGGCAGUAGCUGACACUGAGGCGCGACAGCGUGGGGAGCAAACAGG
rnacentral:rRNA from 1 species